CUGGGCAGGAUGAGAAGGGUCUGGCUGGAAGCCCUGCUCAGCCAACCACAUCUCUUCCCCAG
rnacentral:miRNA from 1 species